rnacentral:snRNA from 1 species
GGAUGUGAGGGUGAUCUGGCUGCAACAUUGGUCAUCUCAUUGAUUGCCAGAGCUGAUUUCAUUGGUCUGGAUGGCUAGACAGGUGUCCCUCCCUCCCUCAUUGCUCUAUGUGUGUCCCUUCUGAAGCUGCAGGCUUGGUGGAAGAGGACAGCCAUCCCAAACAGAAGUGUAUCAUUCUUCAGACAAGGGUAUAGACAANGAUUCCACAUGAAAUUACCAAGGUCUGAGUGAAAUCCUCAUUCUGCUUGCCACUAUGG